UUUAAGUGUAAUCAUAAAUUUUCACGUCCAACUUUGAUCAUCCGUUUUAUUUGAAUUUUUUUUAUAAUUAGUAUUUUUAUUAUUAUGAGAUGAUAAUACAUGAAUAGUACUUUAUAUGUAACUCAUUUUUUUAACUUUGUUCAGAAAUUUUUUAAAUAAACACGAACCAGUAAAAAUUGUGCACGGAAAAUCAUGGUUGUACUUCAA
rfam:Oryza sativa (indica cultivar-group) chromosome 1, whole genome shotgun sequence.